UACAGAGGGUGCGAGCGUUGUCCGGAAUCACUGGGCGUAAAGGGCUCGUAGGCGGCCUGUCGCGUCGGAAGUGAAAGCCCACUGCUUAACGGUGGGUCUGCUUCCGGUACGGGCAGGCUAGAGUAUGGCAGGGGAGACUGGAAUUCCUGGUGUAGCGGUGGAAUGCGCAGAUAUCAGGAGGAACACCGGUGGCGAAGGCGGGUCUCUGGGCCAUUACUGACGCUGAGGCGCGAAAGCUAGGGGAGCAAACGGG
rnacentral:rRNA from 1 species